UGAAUAGCUCCGUCAGGACAGCAUGAGACUUGUAAUCUCAGGGUUGUGGGUUCGAGCCCCACAUUGGGCAAAA